GUGCUGUAGUUUUAUUAUCCAUUUGAGUGGUAGCUUAUAUUUUACCCAUUUAUUCACAGGAUGAAGCCCACGUACAUGUAAUAGUGUUAUCAUCCUAUACGGUUCAUCGCCCACAGCGAAGAACCACGCGUAUGGUGUGAUCGAGAGAAUAAACCCUCGAACCCU